rnacentral:rRNA from 1 species
CCUACGGGAGGCAGCAGUGGGGAAUAUUGGGCAAUGGGCGCAAGCCUGACCCAGCAACGCCGCGUGAAGGAAGAAGGCUUUCGGGUUGUAAACUUCUUUUGUCAGGGAAGAGUAGAAGACGGUACCUGACGAAUAAGCCACGGCUAACUACGUGCCAGCAGCCGCGGUAAUACGUAGGUGGCAAGCGUUGUCCGGAUUUACUGGGUGUAAAGGGCGUGUAGCCGGGUUGACAAGUCAGAUGGGAAAUCCUGCGGCUUAACCGCAGAACUGCAUUUGAAACUGUUGAUCUUGAGUACGGGAGAGGCAGACGGAAUUCCUAGUGUAGCGGUGAAAUGCGUAGAUAUUAGGAGGAACACCAGUGGCGAAGGCGGUCUGCUGGACAGCAACUGACGGUGAGGCGCGAAAGCGUGGGGAGCAAACAGGAUUAGAUACCCCAGUAGUC